UUCCCCUCUGUGGUGGGAUGUGAAACCAGAGCCGCUCUUAGGUUUGCCAAGUCUCCCCACAGUUGCUUCUCGAAGGUCCACAUCUACAGUUUGGUGGCAGGCCUGCGUUCCCUGGAAAUGGCAUUCCAGAAAGGAGGGUGCAGCCCUGGCUAGGACGCUCUGUCAAUAGGAUCCUUUCCAGAGGAGUGGGGGAACUUGGCUGGAAGCCCAAGCCUGGUGCUCCACAAUUGAAUUCACUAACAAGCCCGAAGUAAACUAACCCUGACCCACCAGGUGUGUGAGAUGUGUGUGGAAACCUGCAGGUUGGGCUCCUAGCCCCAGCCAGGUGCAGCUUGGUUCAGAGACCCUGCCAGGGCUACAGGACACCUGCAGAAAUUCUACAAAAGGAAGUCAAGCCCAGGAGGAUGCCUGAAGAUGGGGAAAGCUAAAGAUAACCUUGGGGUUCUGAUCCUUCUGCCUGCACCUCAGGAGUACUGGGACCACACUAGCUACAAAUUAAACGAAAGCCUGGAUCCUCCCCUGUCCUUUCUGUCAUGAGAAGGCACGACAGAGGGAUACUUUUCAAUGAGCCACGACUCCAGAUCCUUAGGGUCCUGAGUGCUGGUCUUCCUGCUAGAGCUGUCACCAGCCAGUUCCUGGUAUGUAGAUGCUGCCAAGUCCCUGGUGCUUUGUAGCUGUACCCUACACAGACUAAGAUGCCCAUUUGCUUAGAAGGGGUGAUGGAGGGAAGCAGAGAAGGGCUGCCUCAGAAAGCAGUGACUGGAACUGCUUGCUGGGCAUUAAUUCCUAAUCUCCUAAGUCGCUGGGAGGGGCUUGGAAAUGUGAUAUCUAGGGACCUCCUGGGAAGGAGGCUCUAAACUGGAAUGUCUGCUAUUCAGAACAGUGGGAGACAGGCUCACAACCUCAGCCCUAUCUCCUAGGUCAUGUGCAAAGCAGUGGGAGCCAAAGUAACACCUUCUGGUGCGAUUUCCCACAUGGACAGCCUGGCCUCCAUCUGUGUGGUCCAGAAUACUGAGAGUGAGCCACCAGUUUGUGUGUGUGUGUGUGUGUGUGUGUGUGUGUGUGUGUGUGUGUGUGUGUGUGUACUAUAUAGUCACUGCUACUGAAGAUAAAACUGCAAUUCUGUUUAAUUUAAAUAGCUGCCUGGGCUAGCAGCUGCUGUGAUGUGCCUUCUGGUAUUUGGCAUGUUGGAAGACUUGCUGUCUAAGCUAAUGGAGGGACUCAUGCCUUUUUAAUGGCUGUGUACUAUUCCAUUGUAUGGUGUGGGUUACCCCAUCACUCCCGGGGCUUGGGUAUUAGUUCUUUUCCCAUUCGAUUUCAAUAUGCAAACAUGCUUUGAGUAUUUGUGUAUAGACCUCUUUGCAUAUGAGCAGCAUACAUGCAGCAGAGUAUGGAGCAGGCUGUGACCUUUUCUUCCUUCCUCUUUUUCUUCAAACUUCAUAGCAAGAGCUUAGCCCCUAUAUCCCACUGGCAUGGGUUUAGCCAUGUGACCUGCUUUGCCUGGAGUAUGAGGAUGCUGCCAAUAGUGGUCAACUCUGAAUUCAGGAUGCAAGAGACCUUGGAAGUCUCCAUGUGUCCCCCUGUCCUUCUGUAAUCCCAGGAGAUUCACAUUCUCUUAGUAGCUACUGGCCCAAGAAACCAGAGGCAUAGUCUGGAGCUUGGACGUGUCCAGUCUGGAGCAGCCCAUCCCUGGUCAUCAAGCAAUAAAAGAAAUACGGGCAGUUUUCCCAGCAGAGGCUCCAAGGGCAACAGGGUGAGCACAUAUCAUAAUGGAAGCCAUCAUGGCAUGCACUGGCAUGUACUCUGACCCUGCCUUCUUCCAGGAGGUGACUGAAGCACCUGAACCAGGAAGCUAUGAGCAGUGACCUUUCUUAGAGCCCUGCUCUUGAGAGGGGAAUACCUUCCAUUCAGUGGACAUGGCCAGCUGUGCAGAGGUCCAGUCACCAGCAGUUCCAGUGGGGAACAUGCCAUGACUUGAUGUGAUUUGAGUACAACUUCCUGAUUCCCGUGUGAGAAGGUGGUUUGGCCCCCUUAAGAGACGCUGGGGGUGGGGGGUGCACGCCUAUGGGAGGCAGAGGCAGAGGCAGGUGGAUCCCUAUGGGUUCGUUUGAGGCCAGCCUGGUCUACAGAGCGAGUUCCAAGACAAGCUCCAAAGCAAUACAGAGAAACCCUGUCUUGAAAAUCCAAGAGAGAGAGCCUCAAAAGGCAUAUUGUGCACAUACAUACAGGCAAACCUCAUACACAUAAAAUAAAAGUGAAUCUUUUUUUUUAAAGGGGAGGAACCUUGUGAAAGACAAGUAGGUCUUUGAGAGUUCAGCCCUGGGAAGGCCAGAUACAGAGCUUCCAGAAUGAUUAAUUAGUCUUCCUGAGGUUUGAUACCAGGAGAGCUCUGCCCCUUUCUGUGCUCUGGCUUCUCUCCCUCCACUAGAUCUUCGUCUUGUGUGGGCUCCGUGAUGGGAUUCACCUCACUGUGAUAUAAUUGGCAUAAUCAGUGCAGAGACUUCACCAAAGCAUGGCCUGUCCUAUCAGUCUCCAGGAUGGUGGGAACAAACCCUUUUCUUCCAAAGUUCCUGGCUCUAGGACCCCGGAAGCCUUUCUAUUCCCAGGAUGCUACUUGUACCUGGGCCCCAGAUGGGUCCUCAUCAGAUGGAAGCCAGUGGAGUGAAGGAUUUCCUUUCACAUUGAAGGUGAUUGGUUUCCACUCAGCACUACCUCUGCCAGCCUUCCUGCCUUGCCUCCUACAUUGUUGGGAUAAAAGGAAACCAUGCCCAGGUCCUCAGCUCAGUACACCGAAUGAUGGAAUGCCCGAGCAGGGAGGCUCAGAAGAGAGACUUUGGAAGAAACUCUGGUUAGGACUCUCCCCUGCACAGUGCACCCCAAAGGACUGUGCCUGAUACUCUUCUACAGUGUCUCCAUUUCUUAGAUGUCACAUGAAGAAACACAUGCCCAGGAUGAGAAAAUAUGGAAGCUCUCAGUCCAUGAUGGAGCCUGGGGAAGCCUUCCACAACUCACUGCUCCCCGCUUCUCUGGAGGAAAGAGGGAAGGAUGGGGUAUCUGAGGGACUGAUGAUUGAACAGAGCUGGUCCUAGCUCCAGCGCCUCCAAGCUACCCUGGGCUUGCACUGUACCUCCCCUCCUACCUGGAUGGGACUCUGCCAGGUGGUACAGAACUUGGCCCCAGGCUGGCUGGGUUCUUAGCUGAUUCUGCACCCCUAAUAAGUCUCAGCCGGGGGCUAAGUCACACCCUCAUUCUCUUUUAAUUAUUCAGGACCUGACACAUUGCCUGGGAAUACAUCACUCAGAGUACAUGGUGGUAAAGAUUAAAUAUUAGAGACCUGCCCCACACUCUCCUGGUUCUGGUUGGACGAGACCACUGCUUGACUUGCCAUCACGUGCCUUCAUCCAGCACCUGGUGGAAGGAGAAGCAGACACCCACAACUAAUCACAGAACUGAACUGGAAUCCAGAUGCAGAGAAGGACGAGUGAAGAGCAAAGGGUUCCAGAUCAGGCUGGCGAAACCCACAGAAACAGCUGACCCUAACAUUGGGGAACUCUUGCUUCCCAGACUGAUAGCUGGGAUACCAGCAUGUGACUGAUCCAGACUCCAGGAACAUGGGUUUCAGUGAGGAAACCUUGGAAAUCUACAAGGCCUCCUGUAGUAGUUCAGUACUCAUCCCUAGCAUAGGUGUGGACUUUGGGAGCUCAUUCCACAUAGAGGAAUACUCCCGGAGCCAAGACACACGGGGGUGGGCCUAGGCCCUAUCCCAAAGGAUAUGAUAGAUUCUGAUGACACCCUAUGGAAGGCCUCACCAUCCAGGGGGCGCAGAAAGGAUAUGUGAUAGGUAGGGUUUUAGUUGGAGGGGUGGUAGGGGAGGAGGGAUGGGAGAGGGAACUGGGAUUGACAUGUAAAACAAUCUUGUUUCUAAUUCAAAUAAAAAAAUCUGCAAAAAAAUGGAG
ensembl:lncRNA